rnacentral:rRNA from 1 species
AUGGAGGUGGCUGUCGGCGCGGCGAGCUCGCUCCUUGGCAAGUUGCUCACGAAGCUGUCUGAAGACCUGGUGGCCGCGUAUGUCCACAGCCUUGAGCUCGGCCACAACUCCCAGCAGAUCAAAACAAAACUGUUGCACACACAAGGGCUGCUGCAAGUGGCCGAGGGGAGGGACGUGAGCAACGUCACCGCCCUGCAGGCCUUGUUGGAGGAGCUGAGCAAGAAGGCCGACGAGGCGGAGGACUCGCUGGAUGAGCUCCACUACUUCAAGAUCCAGGACCAGCUCGACGGCACCAACUAUGCGGCGCCGGAUCUCGGCGAUAGCCUCCGCGGCCAUGCUCGCCAUGGUGGCCAUGCUGCUCGCCACACCAUCGGUAACUGGUUCCCAUGCUCUUCUUGCUCGCGUGCGCAAGAUGAUGAUUCUGCUCCUACUGCUGUUGCCAAUAGCCCACACCACUAUGCAACCAACUCUGUUACUGCUAGUGCUGAUGAUGAUGGCGAUGUCGAUAAGUUACAUUUCGACAGAGUCACCAUGUCCAGAAAAAUUAAGUCAGUGAUAAAUGACAUACACUCUUUGUGUGAUCCCAUCUCUGAUUUGCUCAACAAAGUUCCAAGCAGCAGCACAGCCGUCACCCUAAAACGGCCACACGUAGGGUCCACAAUUAUACAAGAUACACUGCACGGGAGGAGAGACAUUUUUGAGAAAAUUGUCAAUGAUAUCACAAGUGGCACACAUCACAGUCAAACUGUUUCUGUUCUUCCUAUAGUUGGCCCGGGGGGUAUUGGAAAGACAACUUUCACCCAACACCUGUAUAAUGAUGGUAGGACUGAAGAGCACUUUGCUGUUAUGGUUUGGGUGUGUGUAUCAACUGAUUUUGAUGUGUUGAAACUCACCCAACAGAUUCUUAACUGCAUACCUGCAACUGACAAUGAAAUUGCAAUUGAAACAACCAAUCUAGACAGACUUCAAAAAUCCAUUGCGCAGAGACUGAAGACCAAAAGGUUCUUAAUUGUCUUGGAUGAUAUAUGGAAAUGCGAUAGUGAGGAUGAGUGGAAAACCUUGCUAGCUCCAUUCACAAAAGGGGACGCCAAAGGCAGCAUGAUACUUGUCACAACUCGAUUCCCAAAACUAGCAAGAAUGAUGAAAACAGUUGACCCAGUAGAGCUGCAAGGCUUGGAGUCUAAUGAUUUUUUCACAUUCUUUGAAUCAUGUAUAUUUGGUGAACAUAAGCCUAGGCAUUAUGAAGAUGAGUUAGAUGGUAUUGCAAGAGAAAUUGCCUGCAAGUUAAAGGGCUCCCCACUAGCAGCCAAAACAGUUGGUCGACUAUUGAAGAAAAAUCUUUCCCGGGAACAUUGGAAUGGAGUUCUUCACAAUCAUGAGUGGCGAAACCAGAAAAAUGAUAACGAUAUUAUACCAUCUUUGAAAAUUAGCUACGAUUACCUCCCUUUCCAUCUGAAAAAAUGCUUCUCAUACUGUGCCCUUUAUCCUUAA